GUUGGCGUGAGGGAGAGGCUGCGUGCAGCUAGAUCGAGAUGCCCAAAUGGGGACAUUUGAAAUUUUGCCCGAGAAGCCCCCCAAAGAUUACAUGUGCCUGUCGAUUUUGGCCUGCUUGUUGUGUUUUCCCAUAGGCAUGAUAGCCUUGAUCUUCUCUAUCCAGACAAAGCACAGCAACCGAUGGCAUGAACGAGCCUUGGCGGCUGAGACCUCCCACCAAGUCUUCUACAUUGCAGUCUUGGGGAUUGUUAUGGGAAGCCUCAUCAUACUCAUCAUCUUGGUUUUCUACAUGACGGACUUAUUGUCUCGGUAACUUCCUCUUCAAUUCAUGAACAAACCAACAAAUAUAUACUACUGUGUUACUGA